rnacentral:rRNA from 1 species
GAAUGCUGACAUAAGUAACGAUAAAGCGGGUGAAAAGCCCGCUCGCCGGAAGACCAAGGGUUCCUGUCCAACGUUAAUCGGGGCAGGGUGAGUCGACCCCUAAGGCGAGGCCGAAAGGCGUAGUCGAUGGGAAACGGGUUAAUAUUCCCGUACUUGGUGUUACUGCGAAGGGGGGACGGAGAAGGCUAUGUUGGCCGGGCGACGGUUGUCCCGGUUUAAGCGUGUAGGUGUGUGUUCCAGGUAAAUCCGGUUCACUUUAACACUGAGGCGUGAUGACGAGGCACUACGGUGCUGAAGCAACAAAUGCCCUGCUUCCAGGAAAAGCCUCUAAGCAUCAGGUAACAUCAAAUCGUACCCCAAACCGACACAGGUGGUCAGGUAGAGAAUACCAAGGCGCUUGAGAGAACUCGGGUGAAGGAACUAGGCAAAAUGGUGCCGUAACUUCGGGAGAAGGCACGCUGACAUGUAGGUGAAGUGAUUUACUCAUGGAGCUGAAGUCAGUCGAAGAUACCAGCUGG